rnacentral:rRNA from 1 species
UACGGAGGGGGCUAGCGUUGUUCGGAAUUACUGGGCGUAAAGCGCACGUAGGCGGCUUUGUAAGUUAGAGGUGAAAGCCCAGGGCUUAACCCUGGAAUUGCCUUUAAGACUGCAUCGCUAGAAUCGUGGAGAGGUGAGUGGAAUUCCGAGUGUAGAGGUGAAAUUCGUAGAUAGUCGGAAGAACACCAGGGGCGAAGGCGACUCACUGGACACGUAUUGACGCUGAGGUGCGAAAGCGUGGGGAGCAAACAGG